rnacentral:rRNA from 1 species
CCACGCGAGUGGAUGCCAAUCCCUAAAACCCCUCCUCAGUUCGGACUGGAGUCUGCAACCCGACUCCACGAAGCUGGAUUCGCUAGUAAUCGCGCAUCAGCCACGGCGCGGUGAAUACGUUCCCGGGCCUUGUACACACCGCCCGUCAAGCCAUGGGAGCCGGGGGUACCUGAAGUGCGUAACCGCGAGGAUCGCCCUAGGGUAAAACUGGUGACUGGGGCUAAGUCGUAACAAGGUAUC